rnacentral:rRNA from 1 species
UACGGAGGGUGCAAGCGUUAAUCGGAAUUACUGGGCGUAAAGCGCACGCAGGCGGUCUGUCAAGUCGGAUGUGAAAUCCCCGGGCUCAACCCGGGAACUGCAUUUGAUACUGGCAGACUAGAGUCCUGUAGGGGGGGGUAGAAUUCCAGGUGUAGCGGUGAAAUGCGUAGAGAUGUGGAGGAAUACCGAUGGCGAAGGCGGCCCCCUGGACAAAGACUGACGCUCAGGUGUGAAAGCGUGGGGAGCAAACAGG